rnacentral:rRNA from 1 species
UAAAAAAAGGUAAGCUACUAAGAGCGAAUGGUGGAUGCCUUGACUGGUAAAGGCGAUGAAGGACGUACUAGACUGCGAUAAGCUACGGGGAGCUGUCAAGAAGCUUUGAUCCGUAGAUUUCCGAAUGGGGCAACCCAAUGUAUAGAGAUAUACAUUACCUAUAUAGGAGCGAACGAGGGGAAUUGAAACAUCUUAGUACCCUCAGGAAAAGAAAUCAAUAGAGAUUGCGUCAGUAGCGGCGAGCGAAAGCGCAAGAGGGCAAACCCAGUGCUUGCACUGGGGGUUGUAGGACUGCAAUGUGCAAGAGCUGAGUUUAGCAGAACAUUCUGGAAAGUAUAGCCAUAGAGGGUGAUAGUCCCGUAUGCGAAAAACAAAGCUUAGCUAGCAGUAUCCUGAGUAGGGCGGGACACGAGGAAUCCUGUCUGAAUCCGGGUCGACCACGAUCCAACCCUAAAUACUAAUACCAGAUCGAUAGUGCACAAGUACCGUGAGGGAAAGGUGAAAAGAACUGAGGUGAUCAGAGUGAAAUAGAACCUGAAACCAUUUGCUUACAAUCAUUCAGAGCACUAUGUAGCAAUACAGUGUGAUGGACUGCCUUUUGCAUAAUGAGCCUGCGAGUUGUGGUGUCUGGCAAGGUUAAGCAAACGCGAAGCCGUAGCGAAAGCGAGUCUGAAUAGGGCGCUUAGUCAGAUGCUGCAGACCCGAAACGAAGUGAUCUAUCCAUGAGCAAGUUGAAGCUAGUGUAAGAACUAGUGGAGGACUGAACCCAUAGGCGUUGAAAAGCCCCGGGAUGACUUGUGGAUAGGGGUGAAAGGCCAAUCAAACUUCGUGAUAGCUGGUUCUCUCCGAAAUAUAUUUAGGUAUAGCGUUGUGUCGUAAUAUAAGGGGGUAGAGCACUGAAUGGGCUAGGGCAUACACCAAUGUACCAAACCCUAUCAAACUCCGAAUACCUUAUAUGUAAUCACAGCAGUCAGGCGGCGAGUGAUAAAAUCCGUCGUCAAGAGGGAAACAACCCAGACUACCAGCUAAGGUCCCUAAAUCUUACUUAAGUGGAAAACGAUGUGAAGUUACUUAAACAACCAGGAGGUUGGCUUAGAAGCAGCCAUCCUUUAAAGAAAGCGUAAUAGCUCACUGGUCUAGUGAUUUUGCGCGGAAAAUAUAACGGGGCUAAAGUAAGUACCGAAGCUGUAGACUUGCACACAACUUAGAUUAUUUAAGUUUAGAAUAUGAGAAACUAAGUUAUGUUUAGUUAUAUUUUUACUGAUUUUUAUAGAGUAAAGAUAGAAAUAAAACUUAGUAAAAUCAGUAAAAAUAUUCUUAGACUAAAGUUAAGUAGUUUAAGUUGUGUGCAAGUGGUAGGAGAGCGUUCUAUUUGCGUCGAAGGUAUACCGGUAAGGAGUGCUGGAGCGAAUAGAAGUGAGCAUGCAGGCAUGAGUAGCGAUAAUUAAUGUGAGAAUCAUUAACGCCGUAAACCCAAGGUUUCCUACGCGAUGCUCGUCAUCGUAGGGUUAGUCGGGUCCUAAGUCGAGUCCGAAAGGGGUAGACGAUGGCAAAUUGGUUAAUAUUCCAAUACCAACAUUAGUGUGCGAUGGAAGGACGCUUAGGGCUAAGGGGGCUAGCGGAUGGAAGUGCUAGUCUAAGGUCGUAGGAGGUUAUACAGGCAAAUCCGUAUAACAAUACUCCGAGAGCUGAAAGGCUUUUUGAAGUCUUCGGAUGGAUAGAAGAACCCCUGAUGCCGUCGAGCCAAGAAAAGUUUCUAAGUUUAGCUAAUGUUGCCCGUACCGUAAACCGACACAGGUGGGUGGGAUGAGUAUUCUAAGGCGCGUGGAAGAACUCUCUUUAAGGAACUCUGCAAAAUAGCACCGUAUCUUCGGUAUAAGGUGUGGUUAGCUUCGUACUAGGAUUUACUCCGAAAGCGAAGAAACUUACAACAAAGAGUCCCUCCCGACUGUUUACCAAAAACACAGCACUCUGCUAACUCGUAAGAGGAUGUAUAGGGUGUGACGCCUGCCCGGUGCUCGAAGGUUAAUUGAUGGGGUUAGCAUUAGCGAAGCUCUUGAUCGAAGCCCGAGUAAACGGCGGCCGUAACUAUAACGGUCCUAAGGUAGCGAAAUUCCUUGUCGGUUAAAUACCGACCUGCAUGAAUGGCGUAACGAGAUGGGAGCUGUCUCAAAGAGGGAUCCAGUGAAAUUGUAGUGGAGGUGAAAAUUCCUCCUACCCGCGGCAAGACGGAAAGACCCCGUGGACCUUUACUACAGCUUGACACUGCUACUUGGAUAAGAAUGUGCAGGAUAGGUGGGAGGCUUUGAGUAUAUGACGCCAGUUGUAUAUGAGCCAUUGUUGAGAUACCACUCUUUCUUAUUUGGGUAGCUAACCAGCUUGAGUUAUCCUCAAGUGGGACAAUGUCUGGUGGGUAGUUUGACUGGGGCGGUCGCCUCCCAAAUAAUAACGGAGGCUUACAAAGGUUGGCUCAGAACGGUUGGAAAUCGUUCGUAGAGUAUAAAGGUAUAAGCCAGCUUAACUGCAAGACAUACAAGUCAAGCAGAGACGAAAGUCGGUCUUAGUGAUCCGGUGGUUCUGUGUGGAAGGGCCAUCGCUCAAAGGAUAAAAGGUACCCCGGGGAUAACAGGCUGAUCUCCCCCAAGAGCUCACAUCGACGGGGAGGUUUGGCACCUCGAUGUCGGCUCAUCGCAUCCUGGGGCUGGAGCAGGUCCCAAGGGUAUGGCUGUUCGCCAUUUAAAGCGGUACGCGAGCUGGGUUCAGAACGUCGUGAGACAGUUCGGUCCCUAUCUGCCGUGGGCGUAAGAAGAUUGAAGAGAUUUGACCCUAGUACGAGAGGACCGGGUUGAACAAACCACUGGUGUAGCUGUUGUUCUGCCAAGAGCAUCGCAGCGUAGCUAAGUUUGGAAAGGAUAAACGCUGAAAGCAUCUAAGCGUGAAGCCAACUCUAAGAUGAAUCUUCUCUAAGCUCUCUAGAAGACUACUAGUUUGAUAGGCUGGGUGUGUAAUGGAUGAAAGUCCUUUAGCUGACCAGUACUAAUAGAGCGUUUGGCUUAUCUUUAUAAAGCAU